UAAUUGAAGAGUUUGAUCAUGGCUCAGAUUGAACGCUGGCGGCAGGCUUAACACAUGCAAGUCGAGCGGUAGCACAGGGGAGCUUGCUCCCUGGGUGACGAGCGGCGGACGGGUGAGUAAUGUCUGGGAAACUGCCUGAUGGAGGGGGAUAACUACUGGAAACGGUAGCUAAUACCGCAUAACGUCGCAAGACCAAAGAGGG
rnacentral:rRNA from 1 species